rnacentral:rRNA from 1 species
AGGACGAACGCUGGCGGCGUGCUUAACACAUGCAAGUCGAGGGCAUUUAUGCAGCAAUGUGUGAGUGACCGGCGAACGGGUGCGUAACACGUGAGCGACCUUGCCUCGUGGUGGGGGAUAGCCGGCCCAACGGCCGGGUAAUACCGCAUAUGGUGGUUUCUUCGCAUGGGGAGACUAGCAAAGCUGAGUCGAAAGACUUGGCGCCACGAGGGGGGGCUCGCGGCCUAUCAGCUAGGUUGGGGGGGUAAUGGCCCACCAAGGCGACGGACGGGUAGC